rnacentral:lncRNA from 1 species
CCUGCUGAGCCCACAGAGUAGCUGGGAUUACAGAUGCGUGCCACCUCACCCAGGUUAAAGCAAUGUGUUCCUCAUUCCAGCCUUUAUCUACCAAGCUGCCUGUCAUUAAUUCUAAGACUCAUGUUUGUUUGUUUUCACAUUUUAACAUCUUGUAAAUUAAAAUGGUCUCUUAAAUUAAACAAAAUUUUAGAAUUACAUUCAUCAAAGGUACAAAUUAUAGCUAGUCAUUUUCUAAUUCUUUUUCAAGAUCUACUUUUCUUGACCUAAUAAUGACUAGGAAAUUUGUGAUUUCCCUGCCCUGGUUACAUCUUCCUGAGGAUAGAGCCUACAUAGAAGUUCAGCAAAUAUCUGGUCUUUUCCACACCUGGGAAGAUGUGGGUAUAGGCCACUAUGUGUUUUCCUUUCAAAAUAAGGUGAAAGAAAACUAAAGAAAUACCAGUGCAGAAAGGAAGUUCUUUAUUUUCAGGUUGCUCAAGCUAAAACAAUAAGCAGCAUUUCAUGGAUGACUGGCAUGUCGCCUUUUACUCCUCAAGGCAGACUCAAGAGUUUUCCCAGAAACAGAGGACGAGCCCCUUGGCCAUGCAGCCCUAAGCCAGGCUGAUCCAGCCUUGUCUCGCCCCUCUCUGCAAGAGACUCGUGGGUACAGGAUGAUUGAGGGGGCCCCAGCCUCCCCAGCAGCUGCUGACUUGCGCUUGGAAAUUCAAUCCUCUCAAGGCACAUAUUUGCUGGUCUUGAGAGUAGUAACUCUGUUAGAAAUUUGUUAGUCCUUAUGCAGCACAUCCAUUCUGGCUGAAACCAUGUUUUGAGAAUGAGAGGCCCUGUGUUGCUGUCUGGGCUCCGGUGGCCCUGGGAUACCUGAAGGCAGAGGGCGACCCUUUGACGUCUCAGGGCCAUAUAUCAGUUCCCUAACAGUGAAGCCCACAACAGGCAAGAAUUUCUGACAUGACAUGGGAAAAGCUGAAGAAGUCAGUCUUUGGGGUGUGUUUUCAUCUAGGAGGUGGCUUGAGAUGGAUUCAUGGCAAAUCACAAUAAAUUAUUUAUCAGAUAAUA